CUGGUGCGUAAGCUUAAUAGACAAGCCCGGUGAAAAUCCGGGAACGGUCGCGCCGCUGUGAAGAGGAGUCUGUCUGCAGACAUGAAAAACAUGUCAGCCACUGAAGCUGCGUCUGGAGCAAUCCGGACAAAAGCCUUUGGGAAGGAGCAGAACAGAUGAUGAAUCCAAGUCAGAAGAACUGCCAGUAAAGAA
rnacentral:ncRNA from 1 species